rnacentral:rRNA from 1 species
AUUGAACGCUGGCGGCAGGCCUAACACAUGCAAGUCGAACGAGGGGCGGACGGGUGAGUAAUGUCUGGGACACUGCCCGAUGGAGGGGGAUAACUACUGGAAACGGUAGCUAAUACCGCAUCCCAUCGGAUGGGCCCAGAUGGGAUUAGCGAGUAGGUGGGGUAACGGCUCACCUAGGCGACGAUCCCUAGCUGGUCUGAGAGGAUGAACAGCCACACUGGAACGGAGACCCGGUCCAGACUCCUACGGUAGGCAGCAGUGGGGAAUAUUGCACAAUGGGCGCAAGCCUGAUGCAGCCAUGCCGCGUGUAUGAAGAAGGCCUUCGGGUUGUAAAGUACUUUCAGCGGGGAGGCGUUACCCGCAGAAGAAGCACCGGCUAACUCCGUGCCAGCAGCCGCGGUAAUAC